GGAUUGUGGCUCAGUGGCAGAGCGCUUGCCUGGCAUGUGUAAGGCACUGAGUUCAAUCCUCAGCACCA
rnacentral:tRNA from 1 species